rnacentral:rRNA from 1 species
UACAGAGGGGGCAAGCGUUGUUCGGAAUUACUGGGCGUAAAGGGCGCGUAGGCGGCUUGGUAAGUCGGGGGUGAAAGUCAGCGGCUCAACCGCUGGACUGCCUUCGAGACUGCCUGGCUUGAGCAUGGUAGAGGCUGGCGGAAUUCCCGGUGUAGCGGUGGAAUGCGUAGAGAUCGGGAAGAACAUCGGUGGCGAAGGCGGCCAGCUGGGCCAUUGCUGACGCUGAUGCGCGACAGCGUGGGGAGCAAACAGG